GAUUUCUGACACUGGCGCACCUGGCCCGCCACGGUUACGUGUGUGAGUGCCGGGAUGCGCCUGUCACUUUUCUGUGUGAACCAUUGCGGCUCUUCACUGAGUCGUGAUGGCUUAGCCAGAUAUUUUACUUUGAAAAAAUUAGAGUGUUUAAAGCAGGCGUUUGCUAUGAAUACAUUAGCAUGGAAUAAUAAGUUAGGACUUCGGUUCUAUUUUGUUGGUUUCUAGGACUGAAGUAAUGAUUGAUAGGGACAGUUGGGGGUGCUAGUAUUCAGCGGCCAGAGGUGAAAUUCUCGGAUUCGCUGAAGACUAACUUAUGCGAAAGCAUU
rnacentral:rRNA from 2 species